rnacentral:rRNA from 1 species
UACGUAGGGGGCAAGCGUUGUCCGGAAUCAUUGGGCGUAAAGAGCGUGUAGGCGGCCCGGUAAGUCCGCUGUGAAAGUCGGGGGCUCAACCCUCGAAUGCCGGUGGAUACUGUCGGGCUAGAGUGCGGGAGAGGCGAGUGGAAUUCCUGGUGUAGCGGUGAAAUGCGCAGAUAUCAGGAGGAACACCGGUGGCGAAGGCGGCCCUCUGGACGGAUACUGACGCUGAGACGCGACAGCGUGGGGAGCAAACAGG